AACUGGUCGGGAGCUGGGCCGCUCCCCUGAUGAGCCCAUGGCAGGGCGAAACCAGUA
rfam:Jatropha curcas cultivar GZQX0401 scaffold201_1, whole genome shotgun sequence.